rnacentral:rRNA from 1 species
AGAGUUUGAUCCUGGCUCAGGACGAACGCUGGCGGCGCGCCUAACACAUGCAAGUCGAACGGGAUCAAGAGGAGCUUGCUUUUCUUGAUUUAGUGGCGAACGGGUGAGUAACGCGUGAGUAACCUGCCCUGGAGUGGGGGACAACAGUUGGAAACGACUGCUAAUACCGCAUAAGCCCACGGUGCCGCAUGGCACUGCGGGAAAAGGAUUUAUUCGCUCUAGGAUGGACUCGCGUCCAAUUAGCUAGUUGGUGAGGUAACGGCCCACCAAGGCGACGAUUGGUAGCCGGACUGAGAGGUUGAACGGCCACAUUGGGACUGAGACACGGCCCAGACUCCUACGGGAGGCAGCA